AUUGAACGCUGGCGGCAUGCUUUACACAUGCAAGUCGAACGGUAACAGGGUGCUUGCACCGCUGACGAGUGGCGAACGGGUGAGUAAUGCGUCCGAGCGUGCCGAGUAGUGGGGGAUAACGCAGCGAAAGUUGUGCUAAUACCGCAUACGUACUGAGGUAGAAAGUGGGGGACCUUCGGGCCUCACGCUAUUCGAGCGGCCGACGUCUGAUUAGCUAGUAGGUGAGGUAAAGGCUCACCUAGGCGACGAUCAGUAGCGGGUCUGAGAGGAUGAGCCGCCACAGUGGGACUGAGACACGGCCCAGACUCCUACGGGAGGCAGCAGUGGGGAAUUUUGGACAAUGGGCGAAAGCCUGAUCCAGCCAUGCCGCGUGUCUGAAGAAGGCCUUCGGGUUGUAAAGGACUUUUGUCAGGGAGGAAAUCCCUAGUGCUAAUAACACUGGGGGAUGACAGUACCUGAAGAAUAAGCACCGGCUAACUACGUGCCAGCCGCCGCCGUAA
rnacentral:rRNA from 1 species